AGUGAACGCUGGCGGUAGGCCUAACACAUGCAAGUCGAACGGCAGCACAGGAGAGCUUGCUCUCUGGGUGGCGAGUGGCGGACGGGUGAGGAAUACAUCGGAAUCUACUCUUUCGUGGGGGAUAACGUAGGGAAACUUACGCUAAUACCGCAUACGACCUUCGGGUGAAAGCAGGGGACCUUCGGGCCUUGCGCGAUUGAAUGAGCCGAUGUCGGAUUAGCUAGUUGGGGGGGUAAAGGCCCACAAAGGCGACGAUACGUAGCUGGUCUGAGAGGAUGAUCAGCCACACUGGAACUGAGACACGGUCCAGACUCCUACGGGAGGCAGCAGUGGGGAAUAUUGGACAAUGGGCGCAAGCCUGAUCCAGCCAUACCGCGUGGGUGAAGAAGGCCUUCGGGUUGUAAAGCCCUUUUGUUGGGAAAGAAAAGCAUUCGGUUAAUACCCGGGUGUUCUGACGGUACCCAAAGAAUAAGCACCGGCUAACUUCGUGCCAGCCGCCGCCGUAAAAC
rnacentral:rRNA from 1 species